rnacentral:lncRNA from 1 species
CCUAGUAGAAAUAACACACUCUGUUCAAAUAAUGUAGAAUUACAAAUGGCAGCAAUGCAACACGAUUAUUCUCAAACAGACACAACUGGGGCUAGCCGAUUUACUCAACAAUCCAAUAAGAACAUAGCUACAUUUACCAGAGGGUCAAUUAUUUUGUUUUAAAUGUCACCAAUAAUUGAAUAUUGUGUUCUUAUUGCCUUCUAGAGCCCAUGG